AGUGUCUGUUGAUUUUUAAAAAAUUCAUUUUAGGAAGAUUUUUACAGGUGUAUUUAUGCUUUCCUGUUUAUGUUCAUGAGGCACUUUUCAGCAAGGGAAAAUCUGACUUAUCACCUGGCUAUGUAGAUGAAAGCAAUGCAGACUAGAGUGUUGCCAGCCCUCAUGGUUUAUUUCUUUGGAAGUCACAUGAUUUUGGCCAGGGCUGGAGCCAGUGUAGCUAUAACAGGGGAAGCUCCAUACCUCUCACAAAUUUCAGGCUUACCCAGAGGAAAACAUCCUCCAAUUGGCUGCAUUUCCCACUUUUUUGCCUCCAGGGGAAGAGAGCAGCCAGUCAGGGCUGCUGCAGGAAGCAGGCCAAGCUCUCCACCUGUCCCCUCAAGAGCAGAGAGGACUUUUUGAGUAGUGGACAGCGAAGGGAAGUAGCUGACACCAUUCUUAGAAUAAGGGAAAGGGGAUCAAAAAAAGCUAAGUGGCUCAGGGUGAUCUUCCAGUUCCAUCCUCCUCACCCCACCGCUCUCCAUCCCUAUCACACCAAGUCUGGGAAGGGUGAAGGAGUGCAGAACCCCUGGAGCUGACUUCCUGCCCCAGGUCUGGAAAUUGAGAACAUCAGGAACUGCAAGAAAAGAGAUUAGACUGGAGGAACAGGCAGAUGUGGGUGCUUAGGGCUGGAAGCUCCACACCAUCAGGCAGCCACCAAGAGCUCCUGCAACAAGGGCCAUAUCACCCGUGAUGCCUGUUGACUAGGCAACAAGAAGCCUCAAAUUCUUGCAGCCAUGGAGCAAAAGCCAAUGAGAGGAGCAGAGGGAACAGCAAGACAAAGAGGUGGUGGCCAGACAGCCUGGAGUUUUCCUGGAGUUUUGUCAUCUUGCUCUGAGGGAUUCAGAUGUGGCCUUGAGGAAUCCCCACACACACUGGCCAAGCAUCUUCGCCAGCUAAGAAGUGCCCAAGGCGGAGCAAAGAUGACAUGUUCUGGGAGGUACUGCACUUCUCCAAUGCAGAGAAAAGGGAACGCAAGGAGUGAAGGGAAGCCAAAAGGCAGGACAGAAAAGAAAAUCAGGAGUUUGUU